CCGACUAUGGCCGGCCAACCCAUGUGCAUUUAUGGAUAGAUUCUUAACUAAUUAUUUCUCUAAACAACAUCUAGUAAUUAAUUUUACCUCAGGUUUUAUUUCAAUAGGCUAGAGCCUCCAUUGAAAGUCCUGGUUAGGUUCAACCAUUAACAUGACUAUUCUCAGCCCAUCUAACCAACAAAUGAUCAGACCCGACUAUGGUCGGUUAACUUGACCACCCAUC
rnacentral:lncRNA from 1 species